rnacentral:rRNA from 1 species
AUGGAACACCAACUCUCGAUUAUCUACUGGCGAUUGCGCGGGGCACAAAAAUGGGUUUUGAAGGGUGAUGCGAACACGGCGUAUUUUCAGGCCAUCGCGAAUGGUCGCCGUAGACGCAACACCAUCCCCCUCCUUUGGGAUGGGUCUUCUCUAUUACAGUCCCCGCGGGACAUAAGGUCCCAUGUGGACGGUUUCUAUAGAUCUCUGUUCGCUGCCGUUCCUCGGAGCGACCUAUCCCAGGCCCCGGACUGUUGGUCCGGCCGCCAGCUUGUGACGGAUGAGGAGAAUGUGGCCCUCACGGCCCCCUUCUUCGAGGGCGAGGUCUGGGCCAUCAUCAAGGGCAUGAACCCUACCUCUUCCCCGGGCCCGGAUGGCCUGCCGGUUAAGUUCUUCCAAACCUUCUAGAAUGUGCUCAAACCGGAGGUCAUGGCCAUCUUCGAUGAGUUCUACGUUGGGUCCAUUGAUCUCGGGCGCCUUAACUACUGGACGAUCUCGCUUAUCCCCAAGGUCCCUAGGGCGUCUGACAUCUGUCAGUUUCGCCCGAUCACGGUGACAUCCGUCAGUUUUGGGCCUCUCGGUAGCGCGGGUGCCGGCGCUACUAAUAAGGCGCUACAGCUAACGUAUAGCAGUAGCGCCUGUUGUCCCACGCUACUGCUAUACAUGAAUAGCUGUAGUGCUCUUUGGGAAAGGGCGCUACUGAUAUUAUCUGCAGCGCUGUUUGCUGGGACGCGCUACUGGUAA